UCUUAUUUAUUUGAAAAACACUAAGUUUUUUUCUUUACCAUGGCAGUAUAGGGGAUUAAACUUUCUUGGUUUAUGUUUCAUAAAAUAAAUUUAAUUAUUAAAUUCUAGACAAGUCAAUUAAAAAAUAAGUAAAGUAUCAACAAACAUAGAUUUUAUAUAAACAUUAUUUCAGUACAAUAAAUAAUUAUAUUUUUUCUUUUAGGGGCAGCUUACAUCUGUUCAAUCUGGCAAUGUUGGUAGUGUGAUAUUUCCCGUUCUACAUGCACUCCUGAUGUUACUCUCACAAUUUUUCUGAUUUUUUUGGUAGAAAAAGUGAUUUUUCUGUUCACUAUUUGAGUGUAUUAAGUUCCUUAAGGCCUGUUCAACCUCUUGAAAAUGACACUGGCCAAGUGACCUAUAUGAGUUCAAGCCGCUUAAAAGGAAAGAAGAAAAAAUUUAUGUCUGAUCUAUGGGUGUCUAUGUUUUGGACCAUAAAUAUGUAAAGAAGAAGAAUGAUACUUCUAUUCUGUGGAUAUAGUUCUUUGGUGGCGCCAUUGUGGAAAAAGGGCGUUAUUAAGAAUACACACCAGCACAUCAAGACCACCUAAAACAAGAGACCUAUGUCACUCCUUGUAUAAUCCUAAUGUUUGGCCAUCAUUCCGGUUUACGAGUUAGUCUUCCAUUAUCUUAUUAAGGAUAGUCUACAACAAAUCAAUGGAUGUAUACGGUUCUAAGGCAGUACAUUUAUCCUUUUCAUGAAUAUUACCAAGAAUGGCAUCAGGACUUAUAAGUAUAUCUAAAAUUUUAUUUAUUUUGGGUAAAUAAAUUUAUUUACUGGUUUUUAAUGUUCAUCGGUGGGUUUCAUCGUUUUUAAAUUUAAUUAAGUAUGAAUAAAAUUCCAUUUAGUCUCUGAGUUACAUUUUUGUGGUUGCUUAUUUCAUCACCAAGUUCCAACAAUCUAUUUUAAAUUUGUGCUAAUUUUUGGCUCUUGGACACUUCUUUUUCUUUUUGGUAGAAUACCAUCUACUUAGGACUUUACUUCAUGCUGUUUCUGGUUUACUUUUUUUUCUCUAUAAUAGCUUGACUCCCAUCUUUUCUUGAUUGUGGUAAUAAUAUCAUUUAUCAAUUCUAUAAAAUAUUCUAUUGCCUGUAUUUCUAUAGGUCUUAUUUGUUUGGUAAAAUACACCAUCUACUUAGAAUUUUACUUCACGUUGUUUAUGGUUAACUUUCAUUUUUCUAUAAUAGCUUGACUCCUAUAUUUUCUUCCUUGUAGGCGUAAUAAUUUUGAUUAAUUUUAUAUAAUAUCCCAUUGACUGUAUUUCUAUUAGUUUUCAAUUUGUAUAAUUUUCCUUAACGGUGUCAUUCUUCUAACACUUUUUGCUUGUAUAAUUCCUUGUACAGAAUUGUAGUUUUCGCGGAUUCAUUUUUAUGCCAUUUUUUUAGACCUUUUGUAUGAAUUUUUAUAAUUUUACAGAUUCAGUUGGUUGAGUUUGCGUGUCUUUAUAUAUAAUUUAGAUACACCAUCACAUUUUAAAAUAUCAAAAUUUCCUAUUAAAUUCCUGGCGCAUUCGCCAUUUAUUCGAAAAUCUGACUUCCACAGUACCUAUGAUACUUCUGGCUUUUCUAGCAUUAUUUCCAAUGUAUUUUCCUAAGUAACAUCGACUCCAGAGCAUCAUAACUAGCCUCCCCUAAGAGGAGGAGACCCGGGUCGCCCCCUAUCCCUGAUGUUCGGGCAUCGAUGACCUAUGUAGCAUGCAUAGGUACCCAAGGGAGUCACCACCCUCUGGUUUACGAGCUAGGUGGUCUAACGCUAGAGGCUUCGGCCGGAUACGACCUGGCACCCAAGCUACGAGACUUCUUCGUGCACGUAUCCCGUGACGUCUCGACAGUAGAGGGGGCGGGAUAUCGGACACAUUGAAGAUGAUGAGGGGGGUCCGCCUGUAGGGGGUCCCGGUGGAUGUCCGCUCGAUGGGUGACGAGGGUAACCCGAGACGAGGCUGCUUAGCUGGGAUGGGAACUGACUGGUGAGGCUUAAUCGUCGGCCAAGGGUUAAAUCUGAUGAAGGGGGGCAAACUGAUAUGCUCUGGAGGAUUUUUCUUUAUGUGCUUCAGUCAUAUUUUGACUAGAUAUUCGUUAGGAGGUAGCUAAGCAUAACUUUUUGUCAAUCUUAUUGACUACAUACCUCUUUAUUAUUUUUUUUAAUAGCAUCUAAAAUCUUUUUGCUCCAUCUUGCUUUUGGCGUACCUCUAUUUCACUAUUUUGAUCUGCCAUAUUUUCUUUAUUAUUUGAAUAUUAAUAUUAACCAAUUCUAUAAAACUGUCCUAAUUGUUACACAUAUUUUUAUAUUCUUAUUGACAUUCUUCUGAGACGUUUCUAAGACAUAUUCAAAUUCUAUAGAAUAAUAUUUAUUUUUAUGCCAUUUUUCAAUUCAUUCUAUUUGCAUUUUAUUAUUUAUUUUUUAUAUUUUCUUUAUUAUUGGAAAUAUCCAUUCUAUAAACUUUUCUAUUGAUUGUCCUGUUUGUGUAAUUUUUUUGUGUCAGACUUUGUACCCUUUUCUAUGUCAGACUUUUCUAAGAGAGGUAUUGCCACAUUUCCUCUGUAUAGCUUAUUUUUAUUCAUUUUCGUGACAUUUUUUCAUCAUAUCCCUAUGGGAAUGUCAACAUUUUUAUUCAUUCUCUAAACUCUUCCAUUGAUUGUAUUACCCUUGUAUUACUAAGUAAUUCCCAUAUGUUUACAUUUGUAUAAUUUUGUGUCAUUUUCCUUUGACUGAAUUUCAUGGCUCAUUUUCAUGCAAUUGAAUUGUAUUGUUCUGGGAAUGGAGUAUUGUACUGCUUUGGAACAAGAAAUAAGAUGCCAUCAGGUUGAUUAAAUCCAACAUUCAACUGUGGAUUGAGGAUGAAAUUCAUCACGAAGAGGAAAGCUAAAUAAUUUUAGAGCCAAGACUUUUCAGAAGGGUAGCCAGAAGACGUGUUUACCUCAACAUAGACAUCAGCAUGUCCACCAACACCUUGGAUUUUAAUAUAUCUUUUAAGUUACUCUUCUU